UACUGUAGAGAAUCUCAUUAAUCUUGUGGAUCAUACUUCACUACAGGAAAUUGAGGUAUUUAUAGCAGUGCAUUAUAGCGUUUAUUUAUGUUGUGUUAUGUUUAAGUUUUUAAUAGCGUUUCAUUUUUGGGAAACUCUACGAAUAGGUCGUCUUUAAAAAAAAUGGUGACGCGUAGAAAAAUUGGAAGCGCAAAUAAAAAAAUUGACCCGCU
rnacentral:lncRNA from 1 species